rnacentral:rRNA from 1 species
UGACAGGUGGUGCAUGGUUGUCGUCAGCUCGUGUCGUGAGAUGUUGGGUUAAGUCCCGCAACGAGCGCAACCCUUGAUCUUAGUUGCCAUCAUUAAGUUGGGCACUCUAAGGUGACUGCCGGUGACAAACCGGAGGAAGGUGGGGAUGACGUCAAAUCAUCAUGCCCCUUAUGACCUGGGCUACACACGUGCUACAAUGGACGGUACAAAGAGCUGCAAGACCGCGAGGUGGAGCUAAUCUCAUAAAACCGUUCUCAGUUCGGAUUGUAGGCUGCAACUCGCCUACAUGAAGCUGGAAUCGCUAGUAAUCGCGGA